AACGAACGCUGGCGGCAGGCCUAACACAUGCAAGUCGAGCGGACCCUUCGGGGUUAGCGGCGGACGGGGGAGUAACGCGUGGGAACGUGCCCUUUGCUUCGGAAUAGCCCUGGGAAACUGGGAUUAAUACCGGAUACGCCCUUUCGGGGAAAGAUUUAUUGGUGUAGGAUCGGCCCGCGUUGGAUUCGGUAGUUGGUGGGGUAAUGGCCUACCAAGCCGACGAUCCAUAGCUGGUUUGAGAGGAUGAUCAGCCACACUGGGACUGAGACACGGACCAGACUCCGACGGGAGGCAGCAGUGGGGAAUCUUAGACAAUGGGGGAAACCCUGGUCUAGCCAUGCCGCGUGAGCGAUGAAGGCCUUAGGGUUGUAAAGCUCUUUCACCGGGGAAGAUAAUGACGGUACCCGGAGAAGAAGCCCCGGCUAACUCCGUG
rnacentral:rRNA from 1 species